CGAACCUGGGACCCUUCAGUCUGCAGGCCGGCGCUCUAUCCACUGAGCUACCCAGCCAAGGCCAUAGUAAACUUUUUAAUAUGUUUCUUUUAACCUGGCUGUCCCUGCUAGGCUACAAUUCUUCAUAAUUGUUAUUAUUCUGUGGAGACAUAUGUAAGAACAAGAAAAGGGAGAGAGAUUUCUAUUAGAUGUGGUCUUUGUCUUCUGCAGAUCACUUUACCACAAAUAAUGAAUACAACAACAAUAUUUGGGCAGUAUUCUGUUUAUUCAUAAAGCUAAAAUUCAAACUGUAUAAAAGGAUAUCGUACAGAAUGCUGUUGAUGAAAAAUGAAAUGUGGCUCCUUUAGUGACUGGCCAUACAGAAUUUCACUGGGAUACUUGGCUUUUCCAAUCAACACCACGGAACUUGGAGGUCGGAUGGCUUUGCGCCCGCAGGAGGGACCCAGAAGGCCAGUCCAGGGGGAGCUCAGGGAGAAGGGACGCUUUGUGGGUGCGGAUCCCGAGUCCCUCCCGAGGCGCAGCGCGAACUGAGCAGCGCUGUGGGCGCGCUGAUUGAGGACGUCGUUCUGUCUGCAAACUUGGGCUGGCUGAGCUGCAGGAAUAGCACCCCGCUCCCUGCCCUCCCAGGUCCCAGCACCAACACUGGCCCGGGGGCGAUGCAGACACCUGGUCCGCGCGCACAGAACCCUGGUUCUAGUAAACACGUUACCAAUCGCUCGGAAGAGCCAGCGUUCCCGCGGGGAGAGAAAGACUCUUCACUGGAGAGUUGCUUUUCCUCUUAAACCAAGUUACUGUCUCCUCGUUUUCCCUCCUGUUCCCCUACCAUCUACGGUGCCCAAAGUCUGGUAUAAAAAGGCCAAAUUUAAAGCAACUGCCGCUCCUCGGCUUGGCGAUCAAGGGGCCUCCGAGUUAUAAAUGCCAACACAGAGCGCGCAGGAAACGGGCUCAUUUAUUUUGCUCACACAACAAAAAAAUGUUAAUUGAUGUAAAGUUGCUUGGCACGUGGAUAAUUUAGUCUGACCCACAUUUUAAUUAAAAGAAAACUUAUGAUGUU